GACGAACGCUGGCGGCGUGCCUAAUACAUGCAAGUCGAACGCUUUUUCUUUCACCGGAGCUUGCUCCAUCGAAAGAAAAAGAGUGGCGAACGGGUGAGCAACACGUGGGUAACCUGCCCAUCAGAAGGGGAUAACACUUGGAAACAGGUGCUAAUACCGUAUAACACUAUUUUCCGCAUGGAAGAAAGUUGAAAGGCGCUUUUGCGUCACUGAUGGAUGGACCCGCGGUGCAUUAGCUAGUUGGUGAGGUAACGGCUCACCAAGGCAACGAUGCAUAGCCGAUCUGAGAGGGUGAUCGGCCACACUGGGACUGAGACACGGCCCAGACUCCUACGGGAGGCAGCAGUAGGGAAUCUUCGGCAAUGGACGAAAGUCUGACCGAGCAACGCCGCGUGAGUGAAGAAGGUUUUCGGAUCGUAAAACUCUGUUGUUAGAGAAGAACAAGGAUGAGAGUAAAAUGUUCAUCCCUUGACGGUAUCUAACCAGAAAGCCACGGCUAACUACGUGCCAGCCGCCGCAGUAA
rnacentral:rRNA from 1 species